rnacentral:rRNA from 1 species
UACGGGGGGAGCAAACGUUGUUCGGAAUCACUGGGCGUAAAGGGCGCGUAGGCGGCCAGCACAAGUCAGUUGUGAAAUCUCCGAGCUUAACUCGGAAAGGUCAACUGAUACUGUGCGGCUAGAGUGCGGAAGGGGCAACUGGAAUUCUUGGUGUAGCGGUGAAAUGCGUAGAUAUCAAGAGGAACACCUGCGGCGAAGGCGGGUUGCUGGGCCGACACUGACGCUGAGGCGCGAAAGCUAGGGGAGCGAACGGG